CUAAGUACCGUAUCAAAGCGAGGUAACAACAUUACAGGUCGCGUGGCACCCUGUCAUGACGGAAGUAGGGAUGUGCCUGUCAUUCAAUUCGGUGUACGCGCAGUAUCAGUACAUGCUCUAUGAGACAGACUGGCAGCCGACUCAGCUGUUGAAAUGCCAUUAUCAUAGUGGCCAGUGUUACGUGAGAAUUGACUCUUCUAAUACCGUAAGAUAUUUUAUUCACUCGCCGUUUGAGAUAUCAACAGCCAUAUCGAAUCCAACUGGCGAAGUGUCGCCAGGUGAAGAGCUCAUUAUUGAUUUUAAGGCUGUAGAGAUUCAAGCAUCGUCGAGCGUGAAGUACCUGAGACCUGAGCAAAGAAGAUGUCGGUAUCCAGACGAGUGGAUACACGAGUCUAUAAAGGCGUACAGCUUUGCUCUCUGCCAGAUGCACUGCCGCAGUCAAAUGGCGGUCAUGUUCUGCGGCUGCAGACCUUUCUUCCACGUAAAAGGAGUUUUGCCGUUUGGACUUGAUGUCGGUUUAUUGGGCGUUUCGGCUUAUUAUAUGACAAAGUUAAGGAAACCAGAACAGUGUAAUGUAGUAAGUAUAUUCGGGCCGGAGCCUUGGAGCAAAGAGGCCGAGGAAAACCCAGAGAAAGUGGUGCGAUGCAUAGCACACAGAGGAGCUGGGUUGGACGCGCCCGAAAACACUUUGGAGGCGUUUAAAUAUUGUGUAGAAAGGGACUGUAAUUUUAUUGAGCUGGAUGUGCGCACAUCGCGAGAUGGUCGGCUGGUGCUACUUCACGACCAGGGCCUGGAGAGGCUGGCAGGUGCUGACAUCACCAAUGUACAUUUGAUGGACUGGGAGAAUAUUAAUACCAUUGAUAUAGGUGCUACACAUCCCAAUAGGCAUUUGUUCAAAGAAGUCCACUUGUGUUUGCUGGAUGAGGCUUUGGACUAUCUGCUGGAGAACAAGGUGCGCAUGAUCAUCGAUGUGAAGGGGGAGGACAGCCAGGUGGUCAGUGGCAUAUUGAAGGCAUAUUCCACGAGACCCACUCUCUAUCAGUAUGCAGCUGUGACGUGUUUCAACCCUUAUAUACUAUAUCAGAUACGUAAAAAAGACCCGGAGAUCGUGGGCGCCAUGAGCUACCGGCCGUAUGGGUUCAGCGCAGCUGAUUACGACGCAGAGAACGGACCCACCAAUCCACGGUUCAACGACAACGUGCCCCUGCACGCGGCGCUGCGCGUGUGCGACGCGCUGCACGCGCUGGUGUGGCGCUGGGCGGCGCGCUGGUGCAACGUCAGCGCCGUGCUCCUGCACAAGGACAUCGUCAGCCCGAGCGAGGUGCACUACUGGCGGCAGCUGGGCGUGCGGUGCGCGGGCUGGUGCGUGAACCGGCCGCUGGAGAAGCUGUACUGGCGCGGCGUGCUGCGCGCGCCCUACCUCGCCAACACGCUGCUCGGAGAGCCCGACAUCGAGAAGAAAUCUGAAGAGAAGCAACAGAAGGAUGAUGAGAGUCUAGACCGGGCCGGGCCGCUCGUCGACAAACUGUUGGAGCCGGAACGGAAGAUGUCCUCCGGGCAAAAUUAAAUUUCACCGUAAAACAUACUCUAAAGGCGCUUACUCACUACAAUAUUUAUGUCUAAAUCAAUAUUUAUAUGGAGACCCACCGUCGCCACUUCGACACCACAGCGAAACAAAAAACUAUAAAAGAUAUGGAAUGAAAUAAUUGUGC
rnacentral:misc_RNA from 1 species